UCAUUUUCCCGCCAGUGAGAGGUCAUGUGAUAGUUUUUUUCAACAGGGUAUAAAAGGAGAACCCCUCCCUGUGACGCAGGGCAGUCAGUGGAUGACUUCACAAGUGAUUCCACAUUGCUGCAUAUUCCAAUGUUAUGACUCAGGUUUAUUUUAAAGUGGAGCUUUAUUUUCUGCCUUAAGUUUCAAAGGUUAUUGCCGGCAGUUUUGCUAUAUUACUGCCAGUAAAGUCAGUGGAGAGUGAAGAUUUGUCGGAGUUUGGACACACUGAAGGAUUUGGAAAGUUAAUGUUGACGGUGAAACAGAGUCGACCUUUGUUUAAUCUUCGCAUGAGGAAGUAGUAACUUGUGUCCAUGAUAAUUCCUGCUUUGCCAAAAAAAAGAACACUGAGUUGGAUAUAAAGUUUCGCCAAAGAAAGAUAGUUUAUAAAUUGGGAGCUAAGCAAAUCACUUCAGCUGCAUACCAUCCGGAAUCGCAAGGUGCCUUGGAGAGGUUUCAUUCUACCCUCAAGAAUAUGAUUUGGACAUAUUGUGUGGAAAACGAAAGUGAUUGGGAUGACGACCAAAUUUUUUUUUUUGGAAGGAGGUGUUAUGUACCCGUGGAUAUCUUGUACCUGUCACAUGACUGAGAUGCAAUUGAGGCUGUACUGGAGAUGAGGUAAUGGUCUUGUGACGGGGGAGUGACGUCAUUUUCCCGCCCGUGAGAGGUCAUGUGAUAGUUUUUUUCAACAGGGUAUAAAAGGAGAACCCCUCCCUCUGACACAGGGCAGUCGGAUGAUUUCACAAGUGAUUCCACAUUGCUACAUAUUCCGAUGUUAUGACCCAGGUUUAUUUUAAAAUGGAGCUUUAUUUUCUUCCUUCAGUCUCAAAGGUUAUUGCUGGCAGUUUCACUAUAUUACUGCCAGUAAAGUCAGUGGAGAGUGAAGAUUCGUUGGAGUUCGGACAUACUGAAGGAUUUGGAAAGUUAAUGUCAACGGUGAAACAGAUUCGACCUUUGUUUAAUCUUUGCACUAGGAAGUAGUAACUUGUGUCCGUGAUAAUUCCUGCUUUGCCAAAAAAAAGGAGCAGUGAGUUGGAUACAAAGUUUCACCAAAGAAAGGAUGCGGGUAUAGCUGACGUUUGUUGCACUGGACCAGGCUGUGUCCACCUCUUUCUGUAGCAUUUCCAUUCCUGCCCUUUGAUGUUUCCACACCAGGCCGUGAUGCAACCGGUCAGGAUACUCUCCACUGUGCACUAAUGGAGUGGGGCUGUGCAACAGGAUAGUGAAACCAGAGUAACCGGAGGAAAGCUGUGCGAUUAUAGGGAGAACAUACAAACCCCUCACAGGCAGUGGGAAUUAAACGCAGGUCACCGGCACUAACCACUACAGUACAUUGCUGCCCUUUUGGAAUCUUACUGUUCACAAACUGGCUAAUAAUUUCUCCAUAUUACAAUGGUACCCAGGCAGCCACAAAGGAAAGGAACAACACAGAACCUGAUUAAAGAAACCCCCCACCCCCACACAGAGCAAGACUAUCAAAUGUGUGAAAAAAAGUUCAAAGUUCCCUUGGUACAUCGGUUGGCCAUCCCGUUGGGUGAUUUCUUGGAUCUACUAAAUAUGUCUGCAAGAAAAUGUAUUUCAGAAUAUUAUAUGGUGACAUAAAUUCAAAACCUGUGCUACAAGUAUCUGGAAGAUGUCAAAGACUGUGAAUGAGAGGACCAAACUAAUGUCUUAGUUCUCACCAGAUGGCGGAAGAAGAAGAGGCUGUCAUUUCCUGAACUCCUUCUGCAUUGAAGCACUUGGAAGUGGUCAUAGCAAAGACCCCACAGACAGUCUGCUAAUCAGAGUUCAUUUCCAAAUAAGGAGCUACUCAUGGGAUGCUCUUUGAUACAGCAAAAUAAA